GGAUCCAGACUUUGAUUAUGGCUCAGGAUGAACGCUAGCUACAGGCUUAACACAUGCAAGUCGAGGGGCAGCAUGUUGGUUGCUUGCAACCAAUGAUGGCGACCGGCGCACGGGUGAGUAACGCGUAUCGAACCUGCCUCACACACGGGAACAGCCUUGCGAAAGUAAGAUUAAUGCCCGGUGGUCUUAUAUGAUCGCAUGAUUGUAUAAGUAAAGAUUUAUCGGUGUGAGAUGGCGAUGCGUCCCAUUAGCUUGUUGGCGGGGUAACGGCCCACCAAGGCAUCGAUGGGUAGGGGUUCUGAGAGGAAGGUCCCCCACAUUGGAACUGAGACACGGUCCAAACUCCUACGGGAGGCAGCAGUGAGGAAUAUUGGUCAAUGGACGAAAGUCUGAACCAGCCAAGUAGCGUGCAGGAAGACGGCCCUCUGGGUUGUAAACUGCUUUUAGUUGGGAAUAAAACGCGGUACGUGUACCGCCUUGUAUGUACCAUCAGAAAAAGGACCGGCUAAUUCCGUGCCAGCAGCCGCGGUAAUACGGAAGGUUCGGGCGUUAUCCGGAUUUAUUGGGUUUAAAGGGAGCGCAGGCGGACUUUUAAGUCAGCUGUGAAAUCUGGCGGCUCAACCGUCAGACUGCAGUUGAUACUGGAAGUCUUGGGUGCACACAGGGAUGCUGGAAUUCAUGGUGUAGCGGUGAAAUGCUCAGAUAUCAUGAAGAACUCCAAUCGCGAAGGCAGGCAUCCGGGGUGCAACUGACGCUGAGGCUCGAAAGUGCGGGUAUCAAACAGGAUUAGAUACCCUGGUAGUCCGCACAGUAAACGAUGAAUACUCGCGAUUUGCGAUACAAUGUAAGUCGCCAAGCGAAAGCGUUAAGUAUUCCACCUGGGGAGUACGCCGGCAACGGUGCAACUCAAAGGAAUUGACGG
rnacentral:rRNA from 1 species